GUAACGGCGAGUGAAGCGGCAACAGCUCAAAUUUGAAAUCUGGCCGCAAGGUCCGAGUUGUAAUUUGCAGAGGAUGCUUUUGGCGAGGUGCCUUCCGAGUUCCCUGGAACGGGACGCCAUAGAGGGUGAGAGCCCCGUACGGUAGGACCACCGAGCCUUUGUAAAGCUCCUUCGACGAGUCGAGUAGUUUGGGAAUGCUGCUCUAAAUGGGAGGUGUACGUCUUCUAAAGCUAAAUACCGGCCAGAGACCGAUAGCGCACAAGUAGAGUGAUCGAAAGAUGAAAAGCACUUUGAAAAGAGGGUUAAAAAGUACGUGAAAUUGUUGAAAGGGAAGCAUUCAUGACCAGACUUGGGCUUGGUUGAACAUCCGGCGUUCUCGCCGGUGCACUCUGCCAGUCCAGGCCAGCAUCAGUUUGCCCCGGGGGACAAAGGCGGUGGGAAUGUGGCUCUCUCCGGGGAGUGUUAUAGCCCGCCGUGUAAUGCCCUGGGGCGGACUGAGGAACGCGCUUCGGCUCGGAUGCUGGCGUAAUGGUCAUCAAUGACCCGUCUUGAAACACGGACCAAGGAGUCGUCUUCGUAUGCGAGUGUUCGGGUGUCAAACCCCUACGCGAAAUGAAAGUGAACGUAGGUGAGAGCUUCGGCGCAUCACCGACCGAUCCUGAUGUUCUCGGACGGAUUUGAGUAAGAGC
rnacentral:rRNA from 1 species